CCACAGUUGUCUCCUACAAGCCCUCUCCGACAUUCCCUAAAUGCAGUCAGAUUCAGAUUGUGCCUGACCCCUAAGCAAGCAUCUCAUCGCUUUCCAGCAAACACUCCAGUUUGCCUUGACACCAGAGGGUCUUCCUUCUCGUUAGCACCCAAACACACUAACACAGCACCCGGGGGGAGAUAUAGCGCUAGGAGAGACAAAGUUCAACUCAGCCCAGCUUGGCUUUCAACACACUGGGGCUGACAGCUGAUUGAUUCCAGUGUUGCCAUGUGCUCACUGCUGCAACCCUCUGUUGUCUUUCAUUUUAUCUAGCCUCCGAAGGUCAUAAAAGAUUCAUGCGCAGUGCUUACAGUGUUUGUUAAUGUACUUUAGGCAGAGCAUUGCAGGGACCGAGAACAACGGUGUGGAGGCUUUAUAAAUAUUUACAAUGCCUCCCUUGUUCCCCUCAGAUAGACCUGUUUACCAGGACAGUCCUUAUAAACACUGUUGUGGAGACAAGAUGGCAGCCAGAAUUGCUGAAGCAGCCCUUUGUGAGAUCUGAACUAAGACCCUGCUUUAUCGGACACAAUCUCAUCUCUAAUCCACAGCAUCAACCUGACACUCAAAAAGUCUGCCUGGGUCUCCUGCUUCUGUUCUGUCCUGUACCAGCUCAGUCCCUGUUGGGCUGCUGGGGAGUUGAAUGAUAUGCCUGCCCACCGGCAUCUAGCAAGAGGAGCCACCGAGAUGCCUGAGUGAUGGGAUGCAGAGUAUUAAUCAAAAGGCUUGACUUCAGUAGACUGAACACACCGAUAUUCCCCAACAUCCAUAUAACUGAGAGACGUGGUUCUACAAGGCCUUGUGCCCCCCAUUCCCGAAAAGUACAGGGGGUAUCCAUAUAAUAUGUAGACCUUGAAUAAUGACACAGUGCGAGACCCAGAUUCAGAUGGUUAGUCUGAUAUUUAUUAGAAUACAAGGGGCAGGCAAUAGGCAGGUCGAAGACAGGAAGAAGUUCAUUAACCAGGUCGAGUCCGAAAGGUACAGAGGGGUGGGCAGACUGAAUGGUCAGACAGACGGGCUCAGUGUCAGGCCAGGCAGAACAGGUCAGAACUGGGAGGGCUAGAAAAAUCAAGAGCACAGGGGGAAACACGCUGAUAGGCUUGACCAGACGAAAUGGCAACAGACUGAGAACACAGGUAUAAAUACACUGGGGAUAAUUGGGAAGAUGGUCGACACCUGGAGGGGGUGGAGACCAGCACAAAGACAGGUGAAACAGAUCAGGAUGACACCUUGGUAACAUACAAUAGAUUAUAAUCAAUGGUUUUGAAUAAUGAUGCUAUCAAAAUAAUGAUUUACUAAACCUAAUUGCAGCUGCUUUGGGAGUGUCACACCCUGAUCUGUUUCACCUGUAUGUGUGCUUGUCUCCACCACCUCCAUGUGUCGCCCAUCUUCCCCAGUGUAUUUAUACCUGUGUUCUCUGUCUGUCACCAGUUUGUUUUGUUUCAUCAAACCUACCAGUGUUUUUUCUGUGUGUCUGUCUUGCACUAGUUCGUUUUCCCAGCUUUCCCUGGUUUUUGACCAUCCUGCCUGCCGUUCUGUACCUUUCGGACUCUGUUCUGGAUUACUGACCUCUGCCUGCCCUUGACCUAUCGUUUGCCUGCCCCCGUUUCUGUAAUAAACUUUUAUUACUUCGAAAUUGUCUGCAUCUGGGUCUUCUCCUGAGGCGUGACAGGGAGAUGUAUAAACUUAAACAAAAAAGAGAACUGAACAACAUUCACUGGGGUAGUGGGUUUAUAACCAUUGUACUAUCAGAUGUACAUUUCCUUUCACUAGGGUCUUGUGUGCAAGUUUGUCGUGUGACUGUUAAAUGGGCUCUUUAGUAUGCAUGUCAAAGGAAAUUAGUGUGCAUUUCUCAUCCCUGUCCUCCAUGGGUGUUGCAUUACAAGGCACUGUCCUCAAAACUGCCAGAAUCAAUUAAUAUGAAUAAUGAAUGUAGAGCAACUUGAGUUACCCUGUGAAGCAUAGAACCUUCUCCUGGCUCCUACCAUUGUUCUCACAUCACUUGAAUUUAGCAGAAGAGGAUCCUCAGCUAAUUAUUUAGCAAAAUAGGGGUCAGAAGAUUUGUUGUCUUGGUAUGACAUUCAAAUAGUUCAAAUAUAGGCUACCAUACAUGUGGUGGAUGGAGAGAAUGUUCUCCUCCACUUAUAAGAGAACUUUCUUAGUCCAUUUUGCAACAGAAAUGUCUAUUGUAUAUCCCAUUCUCCCAGGUGGACGUACACAUACAGUACUGUAUAUACACAUACAGAAGUAGGGGUCAGAACCAGGGACAGACUGGACCAGUUUUGGGGUUAAAGGGCACAAUGGCGGUAGUUAGCUCAUGGGAUUUUAAAGGACCCUCCAGAUUCCCCCAUCAGCUUGGGGAUUCAAACCGGCAACCGCAGAUAAUCUUUGUGUCAUUUAGUCAAACUCUGGUCCCCACGUUGGUAUGAGGAACAGUCCACUGAUACUCCAUCAAGAU